CGAGCUAUGGACGAGGGCAAUGGCGACCGCCGCGAGGAGGGCGAGCCGACGGAGUACUCCCCCCUCCACGCCACCAUCGCCUUCGCCUUCGCCCUCGCCUUAGGCGGCCUCCACUUAUCCUCGCCUUGGUCUUAGCCGCGGGUUUAUGGGUUUCUGCUGUUCAUCACGUUGAUUCCCGUCGUUGAUAAAGAGUAAAUUGGGGUUGAGAGUAUCAAGGUUCCAGGUUUUCCCUAUUGAUUUAAUGAUCCUCGAAACCUCGAGAGGGUUCA